UACAGAGGGUGCAAGCGUUGUUCGGAAUUACUGGGCGUAAAGAGUGCGUAGGCGGUUUUCUAAGUUUGGUGUGAAAUCUCCCGGCUUAACUGGGAGGGUGCGCCGAAGACUGGAAGGCUUGAGUAUGGGAGAGGUAAGCGGAAUUCCUGGUGUAGCGGUGAAAUGCGUAGAUAUCAGGAGGAACACCUGUGGCGAAAGCGGCUCACUGGACCACAACUGACGCUGAUGCACGAAAGCUAGGGGAGCAAACAGG
rnacentral:rRNA from 1 species